CGGUAAUUCCAGCUCCAAUAGCGUAUACUAAAGUUGUUGCAGUUAAAAAGCUCGUAGUUGGAUUUCUGCGGGGACGGAGCGGCCGGACGCAACUUGCGUCUCGAGCUAGCGCUUUCCCCGCAUCCUGCCGCGAACCGUGCUACCAUUAGUUUGGUGGCGCUGGGGAUCGGCUCGAUUACUUUGAGAAAAAUAGAGUGUUCAAAGCAGGCCACACGCCUUGAAUAAGUUAGCAUGGAAUAAUGACUAAGGACUUCGGUUCUAUUUUGUUGGUGUUCGGGACUGAAGUAAUGAUUGAUAGGGACAGUUGGGGCGGUCUGUAUUCCAAAGCGAGAGGUGAAAUUCUUAGACCUUCGGAAGACAAACAGCUGCGAAAGCGUUCCGCAAGGAUGUUCCCUUUGAUCAAGAACGAAAGUUGGGGGAUCGAAGACGAUCAGAUACCGUCGUAGUCUCAACUAUAAACUAUACCAGCUAGGGAUCGGUCAACGUUUAAUUAUUCGACUUGAUCGGCACCUUAUGAGAAAUCAAAGCAUCUGGGUUCCGGGGGGAGUAUGGUCGCAAGGCUGAAACUUAAAGGAAUUGACGGAAGGGCACCACCAGCCGUGGAGCCUGUGGCUUAAUUUGACUCAACACGGGAAAACUUACCAGGUUCAGACAUAGUAAGGAUUGACAGAUUGAUAGCUCUUUCUUGAUUCUGUGGGUGGUGGUGCAUGGCCGUUCUUAGUUGGUGGAGUGAUUUGUCUGGUUAAUUCCGUUAACGAACGAGACCCCAGCCUGCUAAAUAGCGCGGCUGAGCUUUGCUCGGUGCGAGCUUCUUAGAGGGACUAUGAUGCGCGAUAGCACAUGGAAGUUUGGGGCAAUACCAGGUCUGUGAUGCCCUUAGAUGUUCUGGUCCGCACACGGGCUACACUGGCGCCUGCAACGAGCAUAUCAGCUGGCCCGAGAGGGUCUUGGCUAAUCUUUUGAACCGGCGCCGUGCUUGGGAUUGACCUUUGCAAUUGUUGGUCAUGCAACGAGGAAUGCCUUGUAAACGCGAGUCAUCAGCUCGCAUUGAAUACGUCCCUGCCCUUUGUACACACCGCCCGUCGCUCCUACCGAUGAAUGUUCCGAUGAAAUUUUCGGAGAGCGCCAGAGAACGGGGCUCCGCCUUGCAGAUCUGGAGGCUCAAAGUCACUUAAAUCUGAACAUUUCGAGGAAGGAGAAGUCGUAACAAGGUAACC
rnacentral:rRNA from 1 species